AUUGAACGCUGGCGGCAGGCCUAACACAUGCAAGUCGAACGGUAGCACAGAGAGCUUGCUCUCGGGUGACGAGUGGCGGACGGGUGAGUAAUGUCUGGGAAACUGCCUGAUGGAGGGGGAUAACUACUGGAAACGGUAGCUAAUACCGCAUAACGUCGCAAGACCAAAGAGGGGGACCUUCGGGCCUCUUGCCAUCAGAUGUGCCCAGAUGGGAUUAGCUAGUAGGUGGGGUAACGGCUCACCUAGGCGACGAUCCCUAGCUGGUCUGAGAGGAUGACCAGCCACACUGGAACUGAGACACGGUCCAGACUCCUACGGGAGGCAGCAGUGGGGAAUAUUGCACAAUGGGCGCAAGCCUGAUGCAGCCAUGCCGCGUGUAUGAAGAAGGCCUUCGGGUUGUAAAGUACUUUCAGCGGGGAGGAAGGUGUUGUGGUUAAUAACCGCAGCAAU
rnacentral:rRNA from 1 species